GACGAACGCUGGCGGCGUGCUUAACACAUGCAAGUCGAACGAUGAUCCCGCCUUCGGGCGGGGGAUUAGUGGCGAACGGGUGAGUAACACGUGGGUAACCUGCCCCCGACUCCGGGAUAAGCCUGGGAAACCGGGUCUAAUACCGGAUAUGACCUCCUGCCGCAUGGCGGGGGGUGGAAAGAUCUUUCGGUCGGGGAUGGACUCGCGGCCUAUCAGCUGGUUGGCGGGGUAACGGCCCACCAAGGCGACGACGGGUAGCCGGCCUGAGAGGGGGGACGGCCACACUGGGACUGAGACACGGCCCAGACUCCUACGGGAGGCAGCAGUGGGGAAUAUUGCACAAUGGGCGCAAGCCUGAUGCAGCGACGCCGCGUGAGGGAUGACGGCCUUCGGGUUGUAAACCUCUUUCGGCAGGGAAGAAGCGAAAGUGACGGUACCUGCGGAAGAAGCGCCGGCUAACUACGUGCCAGCCGCCGCCGUAACAC
rnacentral:rRNA from 1 species